AUUGAACGCUGGCGGCAUGCCUUACACAUGCAAGUCGAACGGUAACAGGUCUUCGGAUGCUGACGAGUGGCGAACGGGUGAGUAAUACAUCGGAACGUGCCCGAAAGUGGGGGAUAACGAGGCGAAAGCUUUGCUAAUACCGCAUACGAUCUCAGGAUGAAAGCAGGGGACCGCAAGGCCUUGCGCUCACGGAGCGGCCGAUGGAAGAUUAGGUAGUUGGUGGGAUAAAAGCGUACCAAGCCGACGAUCUGUAGCUGGUCUGAGAGGACGACCAGCCACACUGGGACUGAGACACGGCCCAGACUCCUACGGGAGGCAGCAGUGGGGAAUUUUGGACAAUGGGCGCAAGCCUGAUCCAGCCAUGCCGCGUGCAGGAUGAAGGCCUUCGGGUUGUAAACUGCUUUUGUACGGAACGAAAAGACUCUGGUUAAUACCUGGGGUCCAUGACGGUACCGUAAGAAUAAGCACCGGCUAACUACGUGCCAGCCGCCGCCGUAACAC
rnacentral:rRNA from 1 species